AAAGUGUGAAAAAUUGGAAUCCUACUACCUUCCUCAUACAGGAUGACUGUGAGGUGAGAACAGAUGUGACAGUGUUUGGGUCAUGGAAGGCACUCACCAAAUACUCCUCUCCCUUCUUUUCUCCUUCCAACUCUAGAUUUAUAUAAUUCCACGAAUUCCAUUCAACCUGACCCUUGAAAAUAUAAGAUCCUACAAGGAAGAGUUAAGAGACAAAGGAUAAAAUACAGGAGACUAAAGGAGAUGACGCCUGGUGGGUGCUCACUGAUGGUAGAUCACCCUUAAAUCGGAGGGCAGGUGCAGAGUUGAAGACCCAAUGAUGCAGGAAGCAGAGGGAAGGGAGAGGCUGGAGAGAAGAAAAAGAGCCAGAGAUCUCCUGCAAGCUCCAGAAAGCCCACCACUAAAAAUAAUCACAGCAAACCCCAUAACUCUGGAAGUUGCCAGGCUGGUCCCGGGUGCCUGGGCUCAAGUGAUCCUCUCACCUCGGCCUCCCAAAGUGCUGGGAUUACAGGCGUGAGCAAUCUCGCCCAGCCUCAACAUGGGCAUCUUGUUUGCUGGCAUACGACGUAAUCUUCAUAAUAUCUACAGCAGUGCUUCUCAACGCUCUUUUCCUUAUCAUCCCCCACCCCAUCUUUUCAGACAUUUUUUAUUAACCACUCCCCCUCCAUUAAAAUGUAACACCACAAAUAUACUGUAUAACUGUUUAAGUCUUCUAUGAUGUAUGUCUGUGCUUUAUGCAUGAAAAGGGUAUUUUUUUUUUCGUGCUCCCCCUGAAGAACUCUUUUGCCCCCUUGGGGGCGAUAUCACCACUGUUGAGAAUGCACGAUCGACACUAUUUCUGAUGUUUCACCGAUUGUCUUUGGAAUGUAACUCAAGACCUUACUGCCUGUCAUCUUGUUAAAAUUGUUGCAUAAACUUUUGGAAUAUAAAUGUGUAUUUUCCCACAUAAAUGUGUUAAGAUACCUAUAAA